GGAAUAUUGGGCAAUGGGCGCAAGCCUGACCCAGCAACGCCGCGUGAAGGAAGAAGGCUUUCGGGUUGUAAACUUCUUUUGUCGGGGACGAAACAAAUGACGGUACCUGACGAAUAAGCCACGGCUAACUACGUGCCAGCAGCCGCGGUAAUACGUAGGUGGCAAGCGUUAUCCGGAUUUACUGGGUGUAAAGGGCGUGUAGGCGGGAUUGCAAGUCAGAUGUGAAAACUGGGGGCUCAACCUCCAGCCUGCAUUUGAAACUGUAGUUCUUGAGUGCUGGAGAGGCAAUCGGAAUUCCGUGUGUAGCGGUGAAAUGCGUAGAUAUACGGAGGAACACCAGUGGCGAAGGCGGAUUGCUGGACAGUAACUGACGCUGAGGCGCGAAAGCGUGGGGAGCAAACAG
rnacentral:rRNA from 1 species